rnacentral:rRNA from 1 species
AUACGGAGGGUGCAAGCGUUAAUCGGAAUUACUGGGCGUAAAGAGUACGUAGGUGGUUUGUUAAGUCAGAUGUGAAAGCCCCGGGCUCAACCUGGGAACUGCAUUUGAAACUGGCAAACUAGAGUAUGGUAGAGGGGGGUAGAAUUUCUAGUGUAGCGGUGAAAUGCGUAGAUAUUAGAAGGAAUACCAGUGGCGAAGGCGGCCCCCUGGACCAAUACUGACACUGAGGUACGAAAGCGUGGGUAGCAAACGGUAUUAGAAACCCUAGUAGUCC